GACAGAGGUGCCGAGCGUUAGGCGGAAUCACUGGGCUUAAAGCGUGUGUAGGCGGGGCGGUAAGUGUCUUGUGAAAUCCCACCGCUCACCGGUGGAACGGCUGGGCAUACUGGCGACCUUGAGAGGCCUAGGGGCAGACGGAACAAGCGGUGGAGCGGUGAAAUGCGUAGAUAUCGCUUGGAACGCCGACGGCGAAAGCAGUCUGCUGGGGGCCUUCUGACGCUGAGACACGAAAGCCAGGGGAGCGAACGGG
rnacentral:rRNA from 1 species